CCGACACCUUUGCCCUGUUCUCUCCCCACGCGAGCGGCGAGCCGCCAGGAGGCCAUGGCGGUUGCCAUCGCCUGCUCGGCGAUUGGACGUGUGAACGGCGGCCCGGACGGCGCGACGAAUUCAUCCCCCGCUUACCCUGGUUCUGAUCCAGCAGCGGGAAGCAGCCAGCAGGCAUUGGUUCAGUUUCAAAGGCACAACCCACAGAUUCAGGCAGGAGCAGAAUUUUCUUCUCGUUAAGGAGGAUGCACUACAGUACAUACAAACAAAAGGAAUUUUGAUGUGCCUGCUGAGGAGACCGUUGGUGUGGCCGAUAUUUUCCCUUCGUCCGAUACACCUUCUGCAGAGUGUCUUCACGUUCGAUCAGUGGUUUCGCGCCUGCGGGUUGUUCCACUCCAAACUGUGGGGUCUCCUUACCGGCCA